rnacentral:misc_RNA from 1 species
UCCUUGUAUAAGCGGCCGAACUGUGAACGCCAUGUUCCAGGAAGUGGGUCGCUAAAAUAAUUCUCAGUGCAACGAGUGAAAUCUUGGCAGAGAAAUUCCUCGCUACAAAACCAUCAGCAACUCUCUCUUAGUUUGAGCAUGGAGGUAGAUUCUACCUCCACGGUUUGAGAAACUUAGAAUCAACGUUGAAGAGUGUUUGGAGGAUAGUCAUUUCAGUGACUUAUUACUUUCGCCCACAAUGGCCGACGCCAAUGCCUCGAUGUCGUCGCUGACAGACUCUGAUAGGUGCGCCACCGCUUUUAGGCUGGUCCUUCAGCUGAUCGAGGCGGCAGAUGUGACCUUCGACAACAGAAUCGGCGUUCUGAACAAGAUCAAGGAGACCUGGGAGAGGAAUGAAGACGUUAACGUGAUGACAGGAAAUGAGUUUGUUGAACAAUCGAGAAAUGAGAGAAUGGAAAAUGGGUCUCCCAUCAACAGAAGUUCACCGAACCGCUCAGAAUCAAGGAAGCACCUUCGCACCACUAAGUUGAAUAUCUCCAAAAAGUACAACCUUCUUCAUAAUGAAAAAUCCACGAGGGUUUCUAAGUGUAAGGUGCGUUCAAAAUUUCUUCAAACCGUUGAGGGGUUCAGACGUGGUCGUCAGUUACACAAAUGUAAGAUUUGCAAGAAAAAUGUCAGGAACGUGACCCGUCAUAUGCAAGUUCACAGCGAUAAGAGACCACACCAUUGCCCGAAAUGCCCAAAGUGCUUCAAAGAACUUGCCCAAUUCAAAAGGCACUGGGUCAAGGCCUACCAUGGUAAAUUGUUGAAAUGUUAUUACUGCUCGAAAAAGUUCAUGAAUCAAGGUGCGCGAAGACGUCAUGAGAAGGAACACCACGGCGGUGACAAUAAACAGACCGGCAGGCCAGAUCCUGCCGCAAAAGGAAAGAUCAAAGCAGCGCCCUCAGUUAGAAGAGAAAGUGAUGGACCUAGUCAGUCUAUCCAGAACACUGAUCGACCUCAACGACAUCCUCAUAAUGUCCAGAAGUCGAAAAGGGUACCCAAUAAUCCAAAGGGACAACCGAGGGCUGCACGCCUUCAAGGACAAACGGCUCCUAGCAGAGAGACCUUGAAGGAGCACGUGCGACGUCAUAGUGCGAAACAGUAUCCCAUUAUAUCAUCCUCUGCAGCCACCACCGGCAAAGACGUCAUCGAAUCAUCGAGCGAGGAAGAGUUUAACCUCACUGAUGAAGCUGAUGGAGAUUGGACCCCAAUUGCAACCCCGACCAACCAUCGCUCUGGGUCUGAAUCAAACCUUCAAUGCAAAUUCUGUUGGCGACAUCUCUCGUCCAACACUCGGCUUCUUGAGCACGAGAACUGUCACAAGGAGAAAAAGAAGCCUUUUCCGUGCCUGGAAUGCAACGAAGUGUAUUUCUCAGGACCAACCUUGUCAUUACAUUUGCGAAAAAAACAUUAAAAAAUUACAAAGGUAGCCAAGAGGGUAAAAUUUCUUGAACAAAAAACACUGCUGAAUACCUGCACUGUGACAGAAAUAGCUCAAGAUUAAUGCUACUUUGUAAGACGUGAGCGAAUUCACAGGGUUUAUCGAAGCAGUUAAAUGCUUGAGCCUUGUUCAUGAAGUCCAAGAAACGACUAUUCAUCCACCUCUGUCGAUUUAACCUAAAGUAAAUCUGACAGCAAGUUUGCAUGUUGAUUCUCAGGCUGGAUGUGUGGGUGAGUAUAAGUAAGUAAAUUCCUCACAAAACACACACACAAAUGCAUAAUGCUGCCAUAUACAUGACUGAAUAAAGCAGGCAAAGUGCACUAUGUACUUGUGACUUGUUUUCAAAGUGACUUCUUUUCCACCUGAGUACAGAGAAAUAUUUUUAUGUAUUAAUGUUUCUAGACAACCAAAUAACUGUUGCAUGUAUAACCGUAUUUAUGUGGGCUUAGGAGUCCGUUUAAUGUACGUAUGUUUACUGUUAGGAAUAUUAUACAAUUUAUUUCUUCAACAUGUGUGUGUUUUAAAUACCUUGGUUCAUAUCGAUAUAUAAGUUUGUUUUCUUGUAACUUACCAAUAAGCCCUAUUGACCAGGCAUGGUUACAUUUAAACAUCUUAUAAUAUCUUUGUACGUACUUGUNGUUCCUGAUGACAAUGGAUUAAUAACUUGACUUAGUGCCUUUUGACAAUUUAUUGCUAAUUCAACUUUUCCAAGUAAACGUAGACUUUAAAUUACAUUAAGCAAUUCUACAGUGAUAAUUUGCAGCUUGUUGAAGCUUUUAUCAUUUUGAGGGGGCACAAUGCCCUGAGGCAUAGUAGAAAAUAUUAAGAAUACAUUUUCUUGAUGUAUAUACCAAACGGUAUAUUUAUACAAAUGUAACUUUACAUGUACGGGAAGGGCAAAACCCCCGCAAAAUACCUUCACGGUGACCAUACAGUACUCAGUAUGAAAACAAUAAAGACCGACAUCUGUCAGCGAUAUAAUUGUGUGAGUGCGUAGACUCAACUAAUCAGAGUUACCAACCUCCAUAACAGGGUAGAUGAUCCAUAUUAAUGAGUCGUUAAUUUUAGUCAGGUGCUGUCAACAUAAAUAAAAUGCUGUCACAGAAAUACCUAUACGUUGGCGUUCACAGGAGAUGUUGGAAUUGCUCUGUCUCAGCGACAGAUUCAGACUCGGUUUCAUGUACAUAUAUUGCAGUGGAUUAUCACAUUGAAGACAGUUGAAAAGCAAUGAGAACGAACAUACGAAAAAAAUUCUCCUAAAAUUAAAAUUUACUCGACAAAUAGAGCAUCCAAUGAAAAGAGUUUCAACUGCGCAAUGAUGGGUUCCGCUGCACUGAUUUCAAAGUUAGAGUGAAGGGAGGUAGGGAAAGAAGGGAACCAGUGCAACUGCAUAACAAUGGAAUCAGCAAACAUUGGAUUUGAUUUUUUUCAAGAUCAUUCGUAAUGGGAUAUCUAACGUCUUAACUUUUUGCUGAUGUGCAGUGAAAUGCUGUGACGAAUGUACUCCAAAUUUCUGGUAAGCUUAAUUGCAUUUCAAACAAGAAAGCUCUAUGAUUUGCAUUGGCUAAAUGUGAAUGAUCUAAUGAAAUCAAUAAAGUUAUUUGUGUGUGAUUGGCUAUUAAAUUUGAAACAUUUUUUGUAAUAUUUCCUUAAUUAAAGCGCUAUUGUAUUGAAAUCGGUAGUCGAUUGUUGACUGAAUAGUAGUCUUAGUUUGUUAAUAUAGAUGGUUUAUAUUGUAAGUAUUCCUACGCAGCACAGCAUCCUUUCUCAAUCUGUAAUAUGUGGCAUACGUUUCAUAUAAUAUUUGUACAAAAUUGUAAAAUACCAGCGCCGUUAACAUUUUCAAGAUAUUUCAAAACAGAUUUUAACCUGACCCUAAGAUUGGUCUGGUCUACAAAUAUUUACCAUUAAAGUAGGAUAAGAAUUGCAGAAUAAAGUUCGGGAAUCACUCAUGGCAACAUGUAAUAUGUUUAACCCAAAUUUGGAGAAAUCAUUCUCCUCACAGUUGAACAGGUCCUUUUUGUCCAGCUUCCCUAUUCUUGAUUCAGACUUUUCCUUUCUGGGAUUCGAGAACGAGCACGUCAUAUUUUCAACAGGGGAGAGCGUCAUCAACGCCGUAAAAUGUGUGGCCCGUCUCUUUCGAAGAUGUGUUAGUAUUUAUUUUUCAUUACUAUUCAUUUUCAUGGUCCGGCAAUCGUCCGUUGACAAAGUAGAUAUUUUGAAUACAGGAGGUUAGCCUCAUUCCAAUGUUUGCUGUAGCUAAUCAGAGAAUGCCACCAAACUGUUUCCUUCCCUGUGCUUAUUUCACAACCGUUAAAGGUCAUAAUGAUAAAAAAAAUGGAGGUAUUGCAUAUGGGUCGUUCAUAAUGUAAUCUGAAAUUAGGUUUCAGUGUAAAAAGGUCAGUGGAAACUAUACCCUAAUAUUUACCUUGGGAAAAACUUAACAGUUCUGAGGUUUCAUUUCUACUAAGGUUUUCGUAAAGCCUUUGAAAUUUGGUUGACUUUUUGAAUCUACAAGACAAUAGUUGUGAUGUUUAUCUUGAUUUGUCAAAUGGCAAAGAUCCGGUGGCGUAACAUUGUGCCCAAACCGGGGAUUGGAUUGGGAGGAAUGACUCUCCCGGCCAUGGAAAUUCGGAAAGCCGGGGGGGGCAUUUGACAUUACACAGGGGCGAUGUAUUCGUUACACAGAGGUGCGUUUGUGAUCAGUAUUAAAUUCAGGCAGAAUUUCCCUAUCCUA